UUUUAUUCAUUUAUUCAUGAGUGGGGGGCAGGGACACAGGCAGAGGGAGAAGCAGGCUCCAUGCAAGGAGCCUGAUGUGGAACUCAUCCCGGGACCCCAGGUUCAUGCCCCCAGCUGAGGCAGGCGCCAAACCGCUGAGCCACCCAGAGGGUCCCAACAUUUAUUUUUAAAUAUUUUUUUUCACAAAACUUUUACAACCUUUUUAUACAUUCAGAUUUUAUCCUGAGUAUUCCCUCUUUAAAGAACCAGCCUUAUUUUAGGAUAAGAUAACUUUUUUUCCACUCAACAAAGAUGUAUUUUCAUUACUCAUACUUUUUUUAAACCAAAAACACACAUCUUACUUUCUUUUUAUUUUUUUAUUUUUUAAAGAUUUUAUUUAUUUAUUCAUGACAGAGAGAGAGAGAGAGAGAGAGAGAGAGAGAGAGGCAGAUACACAGGCAGAGGGAGAAGCAGGCUCCUUCCAGGGAGCCCAAUGCGGGACUCGAUCCCGGGUCUCCAGGAUCACACCCCGCUGAAGGCAGCGCUAAACCGCUGGGCCAACAGGGCUGACCUUACUUUCUUUUUAUAGAAAGUUGUUUCCCUUAUUAGAAUUUCUUAACUCUUAGGAACUUUAAUUUAUAGUGAAAGCUAAUACUUAAGCAAUUGUGAACUGUCUGUUGCACCAGUAUUCCUUAGUGUGGAAAAUGAUGAAUACAUUUUAUAACUUUGAGAAAUGCACUUUUUCAAAGUACAUCUUUUAAUAAAGCACAAAAUUGAUUUACUAAGAGACCCAAAUUUACCUUGAGUUUAUCAGUAAUAAAAAAGCCAAAAGUAGAUAAAUCUAUGUUCAGUAGUUAUUGCUUCAUUAUUUUAUCUUAUUGGGAAAUGAUCUAGAUAUUUAAUGAAUUUAACUUGAUUUGUCAUUUAACCUAGCUCAGCAAAAUUUUAAGAUUUCAGGUUAUCAAAAAUAUUUGGGAGGCUAUCUAAAAAAUAUUUACACCUAUUUAAUUUGCUUGUUUUAAACAAGUACGCUUAAAUUACCCCCAAAAAAUCUUCAUGAGACACCAAACUCAGUCAUUUUUCUGAGCCAGAUUUUUAAAAAAAUCAUUUUGUAGCAGAGAUUACAUCAACUUACCUGACUUACCUUACUAAAGUAUACCCAGGCAUAAUAAAAGUUUUAAUUUUAAUGCUCUAAAGCUAGCUUUAGAUAGCUCUAAAGACAUGUCUAUUUUAAAUAAACCAAUAAAAAUUUCCCCUUAGUACCUGAACUUGAAAAAAAUUGAGUUAACUUUUAUCUAAGAGUUUUAGAGUGCCCAAUCUUUAUAAGUGCUUGCCUUUAAACCAACUAAAUAGAAUUCUUUGACAAAUUAAUUUUAGCAGUAUCAUCCAGAGGUAAAAAAAAAAUUACCUCACAUUUACCAUAUAUAUAUUAUAUAUAUAUAUAUUUUCCAUAUAUAUAUAUAUAUAUAGUAAAUAUACAUAUACACACACAAAAAGACAGAGGUAAAGACCUUAUAUUUUGUAAUAUUUUUAAAGAUUUUUAAGAUUUGUAUUUGUCCCUGGAAUUUGUCUUAGGAGACUAAUUGUUAGAUUUGGGCAAAAGAGCCCUUUUAGCAGUUUGCAUUUUAAAAAGGACUCUUUCCCUUUUUUCCCCCUUUAGUUUCAAGUGAUUGUGGUUGUGAUUGUGGGUUGUGUUUACAUUGUGUUUACAUUUCAAAGACAAAGUAACAUAUAAAUUUAAUGGACACAAUGAAUGCAAGUCUUUCCAAGAAAGAUUUUGGAUUCUUGAAGCCAAUUACUAACAAGCCAUUUAAGAAAAAAUAGAGGAAGUUAAGGGAUUCAUAAAAGAAUGAGUGAACUUUGAAUUAUCAUUAGAGCUGCAUCUCUGGUUCUGUAAAGAUUUGGAAGAUAAAGAGAGUUGCAUACAUCUCCUCAAUGAAUUGGGUUGUAACUUAAAUGGCAUCAUAGAUUGAUCCAACAAUUCAGCUAUAUUAUCCACAAUUUACUUUUUACCCUCUGGCUACCUAGUUCUAAUUUUAAAUAUUUCUGGCAGUAUUGAAUAACCACUCUUUGGUGUAAGAGGUGUUCUCAAAGAGGGUACAGAAGAUAUUACCUCCCUCAAACCUGGAGUCACUCUCAAUGAUAGCCAAAUGAAAGAAUUAACAACCUGCAUAUUCUAGGCAGGCAGAAAGCCACAUUGCACAAAUGAGACAAGCAAGAAAAUAACUAUCUCUGGGAGAGGAUCAAUAAUACAUGGGUUUGUAUUUGAAAAGGAAGGGACAAUGUGAAAUUGUAUUUUCCUCUCUCAGCUAGAUGCUACAGUGCUACAGAGAUUUGGUAGAACGGAUUCUGUUAAGAAUUUACACCAGUUUGCUGUCUUCUGCCAAUUUUUCUAAAAUCCUCUUUGCAGGCUCUGGUACUUUUCAGUUUCCCCUUGGGUGUUUAAGAAGAUAACAUAGCACUUAACCAGAAAAUCCCUCAGUUUUGACAACCAUUGGAAUUGCCCAUAUGGGGGCCCUCUUUUGAAAGUAGACAUGGAAACAUCUAUAAGGCAAGUAACUUGAUAGUUUUUUGUUUACAGUGUGCAGCCAUUUUAUGGUGAAGAAAAAUUAGAGGAUCAGUGGAUGAGUACUCAAAGGAUAGAGGGGAACAGUAGGAGUUUUGUCAUUCUUAGAGUCUUUUGGCUUAGGUGCUUCUUACAUCCUUAAUUUUUCAUUAGCUUUUUGUAAUGAAUCAUGUAAUGAAACUACUUUGAAAUUUUGAAAACUUUUGGAGGCUUCUGCUUACCAAUUAAAACAGGUAUUCCAUUCUGUUUAGUUUGGGGAUCCUUGUUUUUAACUGCACUUCUUAGUGAUCUUAUCUAAUUGGAAUGUUCCAAAUAAUGGUCAUUAUAUUUCUAGGUUGUAAUUCACCUGAGGGUUGGAAACACUUUGGUAGGAUGAUGGCCACAAAUUAAGUUAACUCACAUUUUUUAUUCAAGUAUAAUUAACAUAUAGUGUUAUAUUAGUUUCAGGUAUACAAUAUAAUGAUUCAACAAUUCUAUACAUUAUUCAAUGCUCAUCACCAUAAGUGCUUUCUUAGUACCAUUCACCUAUUUUACCCACACCCACCAUCCUGCCAUCUGGCAACUACCACUUUGUUCUCUAUAUUUAAGAUUCAUUUUUGUUUGUCUUUUUUUCCUUUGUUUUGUUUCUUAAAUUCUACAUAUGAGUAAAAUUGUUUGGUAUCGGUCUUUUUUCUGACCUAUUUCCCUUAGCAUUAUACCCACAAGAUCCAUCCACCUUGUUGCAAAUGGCAACAUUUUGUUCUUUUUAUGGAUGAGUAAUAUUCUAUUGCAUAUAUACAUACCAAUUUUCUUUGUCCAUUCAUCAGUGGAUGGACACUUGGGUUGCUUCCAUAUCCUAGCUAGUGUAAAUAAUGCUGCAAUAAACAUAGGAGUGUAAAUUUCUUUUUCAAAUAAGUGUUUUCAUUUGUUGGGGGUAAAUACACAGUAGUAGAAUUAUUGGAUCAUGUGGCAAUCCUAUUUUUAAUUUUUUGAGGAACUUUCAUACUAUUUUCCAGAGUGGCUGCAUCUGCUUUAAUUCCCAACAGUGCACAAGGAUUUCUUUUAUCCACAUUCUCAUCAACACUUGUUAUUCUUGACUUUUUAAAUUUUACUUAUUUUGACAGGUGUGAGGUAAUAUAUAAUUAUUUUUGAUUUAUGAUGAUUAGUGAUGUUGAGCAUCUUUCUAUUUGUAUGUUGGUCAUCUAUAUGUCCUUUUUGAAAGAAAAAAUCUAUUCAUGUC
rnacentral:lncRNA from 1 species